GGAAGGUUAGCUCAGGGGUAGAGCAUCGCACUCACACUGCGAGGGUCGCAAGUUCGAAACUUGCACUUUCCACCA
rnacentral:tRNA from 3 species